rnacentral:miRNA from 1 species
UCGAGGCACAAGAGGAAAA